rnacentral:tRNA from 1 species
GGGCCCGUAGCUCAAUGGGUAGAGCAGCGGACUCAUAAUCCGUUGGUUGCAGGUUCGAGUCCUGCCGGGCCCA